GGCGGCAUGCCUUACACAUGCAAGUCGGACGGCAGCGCGGGCUUCGGCCUGGCGGCGAGUGGCGAACGCGUGAGUAAUACAUCGGAACAUGUCCAGUAGUGGGGGAUAGCCCGGCGAAAGCCGGAUUAAUACCGCAUACGAUCUGUGGAUGAAAGCGGGGGAUCGCAAGACCUCGCGCNNNNNGGGUGGCCGAUGGCGGAUUAGCUAGUUGGUGGGGUAAAGGCCUACCAAGGCGACGAUCCGUAGCUGGUCUGAGAGGACGACCAGCCACACUGGGACUGAGACACGGCCCAGACUCCUACGGGAGGCAGCAGUGGGGAAUUUUGGACAAUGGGCGCAAGCCUGAUCCAGCAAUGCCGCGUGUGUGAAGAAGGCCUUCGGGUUGUAAAGCACUUUUGUCCGGAAAGAAAUCCUUUUCGAUAAUACCGAGAGGGGAUGACGGUACCGGAAGAAUAAGCACCGGCUAACUACGUGCCAGCAGCCGCGGUAAUACGUAGGGUGCGAGCGUUAAUCGGAAUUACUGGGCGUAAAGCGUGCGCAGGCGGUGAUGCAAGACCGAUGUGAAAUCCCCGGGCUUAACCUGGGAACUGCAUUGGUGACUGCAUCGCUAGAGUAUGGCAGAGGGGGGUAGAAUUCCACGUGUAGCAGUGAAAUGCGUAGAGAUGUGGAGGAAUACCGAUGGCGAAGGCAGCCCCCUGGGUCAAUACUGACGCUCAUGCACGAAAGCGUGGGGAGCAAACAGGAU
rnacentral:rRNA from 1 species